GGCCCGGCCCGGCACCGAGCCCGCGGAGCCUCCGGCGCGGCCACCCGCAGCAUGGCAGGGGCGGUGGUGAGCGGAGCGCAGGUGUCCUACAUUAGUCAGGACUGUGAAGAAAUUCCAGAAUUCCUAGGAAGAAAAUAUGGACACAUGGCAAAAAGGCUAGAUCUUAGCUUCAACUUGCUAAGUUCUUCUCAAAUCAUUCCUGUGCUGCCUGACUGCUAUCUUGGAUGACCCAGAGAUGGACAGUUGUGUUGGCUUCCACUUUAUUUCCACAAAUUCUUCAGUUCUGUGUGACUGCAAAAAUCUUUCCUCUAUUUCCAGGUAUUUUAUUUCACAUAAUAAUGUAGUGCCUACCAACCAUGUUUCUACAGCACAUAACUGUACUUUUGCCUUUUCUUGAAGUCACUGGGACAGUUAUUGCUUUGUGUACAUCAGGGUGGAACUUCUUCACAAAUAUGUGUUGUUCUUUAAUGUGUGUCAGUUCUAGGUGCUGCAUCUGCUGUCUGCUUGCUGUGUCAGAAGAGUAAUACUUGAAAACUAGGGAGGGUAAAUUAACAUGUUGCUCUUCUCUCCUUGUAGAAGCUGAUAGAUGUAGUAAAAUAAUAAAUAUAAUCAAAUUACAAAAGUGAGUGUUAUGAUCAUGAACUUUAAACUAGGAGGCUCAGGAAUGGUAUUUUAUAUAAGCAUACAAAUGAGGUAUAUUUUAUAUAUCUGCAGAGGAGAAAGGUAAAUAGCAUGGUAUUUACUAUAAUUCAUGAACCCCAGCAGAAAAAAAUUCUUAAAGUGUAUUAAACUUAAUCCUUAUGUUAAGGGCUUUUUUCUGUUUUCUUGUUUCUUGUGAAGGCUUCAUCAACAAUCAUAGUCCUGUAAAGCGAUUGCUGUGUAAUAAUCAGAGAUCAUUGUGGAGAAUUGUAAUCAGAAUAAAACCAAAUUUUUGUUUAGUGGACAAAUAAUUAAUUGACUAAGAAGAAGCAAAAAGCAAUAUACAAUCUCAUAAAAGCCAAAAAAAAAGGGACAAAAGUAGAGGAGAUUGAAUGCUUGUCUGUAUUAGUAACAUGUGUCCUACUUUCAGUUCAUGACUUGUGUGACACAGUGCUGUCCUUCUAUUGAAUGGUCUGAACGCCCUGGCAUAGAUGACUUUAAUUCUUGUUCUAAAUGUGAACAAGUAUUAAUUUACUUCACUGAAGAGGAAAUAAGAUAGUAAAGGAAGUUCAUGUUUGGAAAGAGUAGAAAGUUGAUAUUGAUACUGACUUUGCAUUUUGAUAACCCUUUGUGAUGCUUUCUCAUUGCAUGACUUCUGCAGGAGGGUGCUGCUGGGUUACAUGAAGACAAAUAUCUUUGGAACAAAAAGACUUUUCUGUCAAAGCUGGAAGAUGGUUUUGGCUCUUCUUUUUUAUUAUUAUUGUUUUUGAAUUUUUUUCUUCCUGCCCUACUUCAGAGGAAGUCCAAGAAUACUGCUGGCACUGACAAAAGAUGAAAAUAUGAUUUAUGCUGACAUCAUGUAUUACACAAGCAAAUCUGUUCUGUGAAAGACAGUUUUCUGUGGUGUGGAAAUAAAGAAUCAGUGAAUAGUUCUUGGAGGAGUAUUGGUUCAGGCUUUUCUUGCUUCUAUCACCACUGCCCCACCCCUACUUUUCCUUUUCUACUUUGUCUGUCUUUAGGGAUCUUAAUGUUAACCGAAUUUUUUUCAGUCCUUAAGCAUAGCUGCUUCAUGUGGGUUGAUCAAAUGCAAGAAUAAUCUCUGCUGUGAGACUAGAGGCCAUACCCAGCUAUAGCAGUGUUGAUACUGAUUUUCUGACUCCCACAGCAUUUCAUUACAAAUUCCAUUUAGAGGUAGUAAGUUUCCUUUGCUGACAAACUGUAGCAGCAGCACCUACUAAGUUGGGUUGGGUCUACUUAAAAGUUGUUUUCAAACAGUAUUCCAUUUCUGGACAUCUGACGUAGUUUAACUGAACUUUGCCUAUCAAGUGUUGUGGAUAUGACUAGUCACAGUAUUUGUUGAGAUGAUGUUAUCUGCAGCAGCAGAGAAGAAAGCAGGUGAAUAAAAUACAGACAAUAUUCCAACAUUUAAUCUGUUAAAAAGAAACCCAGCUGGAUUAGGUAGGUAGAUUACACUAGUUUUACAGAUAAUUCUAGGCAGUAAGGCUGAAAAGGUGGUGAGGUUAAUUGUGUGAGUGGCUGGAAAGAUGUGAUGACUUAGUGUAAGUCUUAGACUGUCACUUGAGCCAAAUUCUCAGUCCAAAAACCAGUAUCUUGGCUGAGACACUGAGGGAGCUGGGACACUGACCAUCUGUUGGCUGUGGGGAUACAAAUUAUUCCAGAGAGAGGGAUGUAAACCUUGUAAAACCUUUUCAUUUGAAGUUAGGUAAAAUAUGGACUUUUACAGCAGUUUAAUUAAGUUCUUUCAAUUUGUUGGAAUUCUUAACUCCAAGGAAAUACAAAAUACACAGAACCAAUUGGGGUGUUGUCUAAAUUGGCACUUAAUAAAUGCUGCUUGAUCCUUCCAUAAUGGAUAAUAUUUAGCCAACUGCACUCUGCCUAGUGUCUGAGGACCCAGUGCAUCCUUUUUUACUAAAAGAAAAGUAGCAUAAAAAUAGCUGCUUAUACAACUCAUCAGUGCUAAAAACCCUCAAACCAAUGGUACAAAUGUUUGACUGUGAUGACUGUUCCAAAUGACCAAUCCUUUGUUUUUUGAAUAUUGGUUCCCUGUUGUGUAGGUUGGACCUUUGAUAUAAAGUAAGUAUUUAAACAAUUUUUUCUCUUAUAUGCCAUGUGUGCAUUUUUCUUUCCAGCUAGUGCUGUUGUGUGGAGGAGGAGCAAGGUUUGCAGUGGCACACAGCCUUUUCAGAAAAUAGUUUGAAACUUGGUAGUUCUGUCUUGUGUCAGGCAAGAUGCUUCUCGUGAGUUUGUAUGAAGAUUUUUGCCACUGCAAAAACAUAAGAAGGAAGGUGCAGCUGUCCCCACAAAAGCAAAAUCUGGAGUCUCACUGGUAUAUGGAGAUGUUGCCCCUGAGGAAGGCAGGGGCUUCUGGCUCAUGGUCAAUUCUGAGCUUGUUCAGUGCAAUGCAUUGAGUCUCUUGCCCUACCUUUGCCCUGAGUCAGUGCUUUGCAGGGAGCUGAGUUAAUGUAUCUUAUUUCUGUACAAAGCAAGUCCUGCCAUGUGAAUUGGAGUCCUGUCCCUCAUUUCCCCUCACUUUGAGCAGUGCUAUGCUACAUCGUUGUAAUUCCUGAAACGUUGUGAUUGAUUUUUAUUUAAAAUGUGUUAGGCCCCAGCCUUUCCCCAGUUUCCUUUUAACCUUGUCAGAUUUCUCUCCUGUGUUCCUCCUUCUUCUAUUUUGAAACCAUUAAACUCCUGUAAUAUAAAUUGAUUUACACCUCAGCUUUGGUAAGUAUUUUUGAGAAACGUGGAGAAACUAAUGCAUGCAGAAAAUGUUGGGUUUUUUGGAGUGGUGAAAGGAGACCCUAAAUGUUCUGGGCAGAGCUUUGGAGAUGGAGUCCUUGAACACUUUCAGUCAUCUUGUAAGUUAAUCAACAUAAUCUAUAAAGACUACAGCAAAGUUGGUAAGGAUUGUUUCAUUAUCUAUAGAAAACAUAGCAUAGCAGUACUAAUUGUCUAUAUAGUAUAUAUCUCUGUAUACUAUGAUGUAGACUGUCAUGGCCUCUGAAAAGAUGGCUGGUUUUUUCUCCAGUUAAGUGACAGUCAUAUAGCAUGCACUUAACCAUGUUCUUAAUUGUUUUAUAAUACAGGAGUGGAGUUAAUGUCCUCAUGUGCUUUGCUGAGUCAAGAUCUUGGUGGGUUCCUGUACUCAUGUUUCAUGCUGUUAACUCUCUACCAAUGUUCUUUCUGUUAAUAGUGAUCAAGUCACAAAGCAAUUAUACUCCCACAAGCUGUCCUUUAAUAACCUUUGUCAUUUGUCAAAGUGCAUUAGGGCCUUGCAUAUUUUUACAGAGAAGCUACUGGUCUUCAUGAAUUAAUGGAGUGUUCUGAUGUGCCAGCUCAUCUUCCUUGCCAAAUUGCUGUUGAUUCAGAGGGAAACUCACAUCAGUUUAAAGAAAUAUCUUCUACCUUUCUCUUAGACCAAAAAAUUUUCAAACAGGGCUAAAAUCUUAUAUAGCAACAAUCAAUAAACAAUGUUCAUCUGAACCAGCUCAGCCUUCUAGUCUGGCAAAGCUUAGAUUUUAAGCUUUUAAAUUAUCUUUGGAUGUGACUGUAUCUUGUGUUAAACUAGAAAAGGUAUAAUGAUUUUCAUAUGCUAAACUGUCACAGUCUUUUCAUAAGCAUAUAUUUAUGAUGCUACACCUCUGUGAGUAUUUUGGGACUUACGAUUCUGCUGUUUAUACUACAAAGGUGUAACUCAGUGUGAUCUUGUCUUCCCCACUUACUUUGUUUCUUAAGUAAGUGUUUUAACUGCAAGCAGUCAGGGUGUAUUCCUCGUUGUGAUUUGCCAGCAUGAAGUAUGCAUUUGGGGAAGGCAUGGUCUUGAGUUACCUGCUAUAGGGGAACUGUGUGAGAGGGAAAGAGAGCAACUCCCUGAAAAACCAUUUGAUAUUUUGUGAACAGUCUAGUGUUAAAGAAUAAAAGGUAUGAUAAUUCUAUUGCAGUUGUGGUAUUUUAAGCAUAUAAAUUUCCCUUCAGUCCUGAAAACCUCUUCAUCAGGUAGAGAACUCUGAUGCUUAGAGUGCACAUUCCAUCUCUACUUCCGGGAUUGCUUUCUCCUAGGUAAAAAAUGUUGAAGCCUGGUGGAUCACUGUUACUUUGUAGAUGUGUAUGCACUCCAGUAUUCAGUUCUUGGGUAUACCUGGAGACAGAUAAAGUAUAAGAGGUGAAAUACAGGGUAGAUCAUCUCUAGAUUGUCUCCUGGAGUUCUAAAGCUUGUUUGCUUUAACAAAGGAUCAAUAUUUUGCAUUUUAGAACUUCAGAGUUCACUUUUGGCAAAGGUGUGUGAGGCAAACAUUUCUUGUGUAACUUGAAUGAUUGUUCACUGAGGAGAAUUGUUUUCUUAAUAAAACAUGACAUCAAAUGUGCACACAAAAAGUUUUGAAAACUUAUACUUUGGAAAUAGGUGUAUUUUCUGAAAUAGUGUAUAGUUCUUAUAUUUUUUACAGUUAAACACAUUCUUCUAAAGGUAAAUAGUUAUGUAUGUAGUCUGUAGCUUGCUGAAGAGUUUAGUUUUAAGAGAAUGUGAGUAGCAGAGAGUUGAACAGCUGCAAUAGGAUGUGUAGCUCAUUCAAAGUUCUAAGACCACAGAUGCAGUAGUGAGGAAACAGUAUUUCUUUUAUUGAGUGCUAUGGUACCUUUUAAAACUUCUCUGGGUUGACUUUCUGUGUUGUUUUUCCUCGUUAUGUUUCCCAAUAAGUACAAAUAGACCCUUGAUGGAACCAUGAUAUUUUAUAAACUAUUUAAGUAACAUAGACUCUUUAGAAACGAAUAUAAUUAUUCAAAUUUACAACUUAAUAUCCAGCCAAUAUGGAAUAUAUAAUUAGGAGAACACUGAAGGUCAGAUUUUAAGUGCUUGUGUUCUAGAUCUAUGAAAAAAAUAUUAAAAUGAUAUUGAGGAUCAAAACAGCUGUUAAACUCUUAAACAUUUACUGUAUCCUUGGAAAUAGAAUGAACUUUGGUAGCAGCUAUUGUCUUGCUCACAUGUAAUUUUCACUAAAAUAAAGAUUUAUAAAAGCGAGCAUUUAAAACUCCUCUUAAGCUUCCUCAGAUCAUGCUAACCUAGUUUUUCUGUACUAGUCUGAAAUUGAUGCUCAAACAGAGGAGAAGGGAUAAUUGGCCAAUCACUGUGGCUUUGGAAAACACUGGUUUUGUCCCUGCUGAAGGUGGGGUGUUUUCCCUUCUAAUUGCCUCAGAAAUGUUAGUGUCUGUCCCUGUUUUAGUCUGAUCAUCUGAGCUCUGUUUGGUUUUUUGUUGCUGUCCACUCCUGUUGAUUUUUUUUUUCUAUCUGCAGCUUAUAUGCUUUCUACCUCUCAUUAAAAUAGACUAAAAAAUCUGAUUCAUUCUAAAUGAGAUACCUGUUAAUCAGUAAACACUAUUUUCCACGUGUCAGCAUACCAGCUUUUUUCUUUAAAUAGAAAGAUUGUGUUUGUGGUUUGGUAGGGGAAAUAGAGGAGAAGGGGAUUGUAUUUCCUUACAAUUGAAGAUAAUUAGGUUGUUGUAGUUAAGUUAGGUUAUCACAUUAGCUAUUAAAAAGUGCAUCAGUAAAAUGCACAUUGCACUUUCCUUGUCUCUUCAUUUCUUUAGGUGAUAACAGGCAAAAAAUGUGUGGAAUAGGACUCUAAUUUUAUUUUUAACUUAAUAGUCUGAAAUUGAGCAUGGUUACCAGGAGUUCCAAUAUGGGAAGUAGGAAGUUAAUGAGACAAAUUUCUUGUCCUGAAUUUGGAGAUUGCUUUUGUGUGCAUAAAUGUGAACUUGCUUAAGAUAUUCAAGAAUGUUCCAGCUUUGCUGUUGUGGGGUAUCAAGCAUACUGUAAAAUCAGAGAAAUUGGCCCUGUUUUUUUGCAAACUGAGAUGCCUCAGGCAUGUUUGUGCUGCCUAUGUGACAUGUGAAGCAGUCUGAGGUAGCUUCUUUAACAUCUAGGCUGAAGAGGGCAAAGAGGACACCAGGUUCCAGUCUUGGCUUCCUGUGGAAUCUUCUGGGAGAAGUGUUCAGAAUGUCUACAUAAGGAGCUCAUCAUAACCAGAUUGAAUACUUCCUAUUUAUUAAAGUAACUGGUGUCACAAACAAAUCUGUUGGAACAAAUCAAAUGUCUAAGAAAUCAUGGAGUAUUAAGAUAUUGGUUUUUAUCCCAAUGGUGUUUCCUGACUGUUACUUCCAUAUGUUGCUCUUUGUACUAUGCUUACAAACUGCAAAGAAAAAACCUUGAUUAUGUACAAAAAUUUGUAGUGUGAGUAAGCCUUACAAGUUCCAUUCUCUGAAGCAUGGAAGUUAAUUCCUGCUCAAGGAUACAACGAACUGCAUCUCUGUUCCCAUUUUUAACUUCUUUUUUCCUCCCAGUCAGUGAAGAGAGAAGAAUAUUGGUUGUGGGAAAAGGCCUCAUCUGGCUAUAAAGAUAGUGCCUAAAAUCUGUUAUUAUUUCAGUUGCUUCUUUUGUCUUUCUUUUCUGUCUCACUUUUUCCCCCAAAGAUUGGCCCAACAUUUGUGAAUUUUAGGGGAGGUGACUCUAUCCCUUUUUAAAGCAAGACACUUGGAAAAGUAGGGAUAUAACUAUUACUUGACAUUCAGGCUGAGCAUGUACCUCCUUGGUUUUAUGGAAGUGCUUUUUUUUUGUGGAGCCUUAAAGGAGCUUUGGGAAGGCUAAUUGUACUUUAUUGAUAGACCCUUUACUUUGCUACCAGCUCUCAUUAUCAUACUCCUUGUAUUUUUUAUUUUAUUAUUUUUUUAUGGUUGACUGUGUUUCAAAAAAAAAAAAUCAAAUCUGAUGGUUGAGUGAACGCGGCCAAACUUGCAAAACCUUUAUACCCAUCCCCAGUAGCUGUAAGGUUUAUUAGCCAGAGUGAUGAAUAAGAAAAUGUGGAUGUUGAGUACAUGACUUACCCUCUCCUUGCCCUAUACAUGCAUCUGUAAAGUAGGGGCUAAAACACUAAACCACACCAAAUGCUGAUCCUUAAUGCAUGUUGGUAAAUCAUUUACUAUUGCCAAAUACACUACAGAAAUGCCUUGUUAAUGUUACCUAAAUUAUGUCACUGGUCAAAAAAUAGAAUGAAAUAUAUUCUCGCUUGUGCUGCAGAAUUUAUGGUUCAGCAUAUUGAUUUCCAGCUUGAUGAUCUUAGAACAUGCUAAAGUUGGUAGUGAUCUGUGAUAGCAUUGGUGUAGUAUUAAUCAAAGGCAAAAACAUUUCUGAUCCAAGAAUUCCAAAGCAUGUUAUGUACUUUGCUAUAUAGAGUUAAAUUUCUCCUCCCAUGCCCAAGUAAAUUGCAAAUUAGCACUAAUAAAUCACAUUGCAGCAGUUGGUAAGAAGUGAAAGUAUAUUAAUAAUUAAAUAGUUCUUUUCAGCCACCCCUCCCCCUUCCUUUUUUAUGUGGUGAUUUUCUAGACUCAAAAUCAGCGUGUCUCAUGCAGGCUAUCUAUAAUAUAUAGUUGUUUCAAAUCAGCUUUACUUACUGAGCUUUUUCUAGUAAUGGAGCUCUGUCAGCAAAAAGCAUAUGCACCCGCAAAUGAUGAACGAUGGACUUGUGUCAAAUGGAAGCUUGAAAGGUGCUUCUGUAGUUAAAUGGAUUAGUCUGCACCAGAAGUUCAAAACUCCUCAAGUGUAAUUGUUUCAGAGAAAAGGUAUCCCUGGAUUGAUAGGGGCAGCUAAGCAAGGAGAGCUGGAGGAAGAGCUGCUUUAUCAGAUCUAAGUGAGGGCUUACUAAUCCACAGCAAGUAGGCUUUGCUGUGACAAGAUUGCUGGCUUGAUGCUUCUGCGAGUUUUCUUCUUUUUUGUAAAUGUGAUAUUUGUAAAGAUUUUAAUUUAUAUUAGUGAAAGACAUAUUUUGGGUUUUUUUUUUUCUUACAAAAUUAGUAAGCUUAAUUCCAUUUAUGUGGCCAUGUGCAACAGUGAUUUCAAAAUAACCUGUAACAUUUUUCAUACACUUGAUAAAAAUGUUGGUUCUUGUUUCAGUAGUAGUAUUAGCUAUAAAACCAACUUCGUGUACUGUAGUUAUUUUGCAGUUACACACCAAGUAAGGUAAUUAGGGAUUGCUAUAUAAAUGCAAAAAACCCUGCAUGUAAAUUUUAAUUUUAUAUAAAUAGUGUUCUAUUUCUGUUGCUCAUUAAAUAUUUCAUCAUUUGUGUUGUUAAUGUGUAAAUCUCGCUCAGAAGAAAAUAUUUGCAGGGGAAGAAAUUUACAUUAGGAAUUAAACAAUUGAAAUAUUUUUCCUGAGUUUUUUUUUUUUUUUUUUUUUUUUUUUUUUUUUUUUUUUAUAUCCUUUCGGCUGUACUUAAACUGGGUGUUUCAUAUGAGUGUUCAACAAAAGAAUAGCUAUAAGCAGGGAGGCUUUCACUGCUCCUCAGUCUUUCCAUUUUGCCAGUUUUUCUUUCUCUUCUGCUUCUUUGCAAUUGUUAGCCUUCAUGUGAACUGAAAGGUACUUCAAAACACUGGAAGAAAAUAGUCUGAAAGCUUCAUACGCAUUUCUUCAUGGUAAAGAGAAGUGAAGAAGUUGAAGACUUUUUCCACUGACAGGUGUUUGUGUGUCAGAGCAAUGAAUGCUUUUGAUGGCAAACCCACUUGCUUUUCUUCAUUGUAGUCUUCUUUCUAAAUAUUAAAAAAAAGACAAAUUCUGACAACAAAAAUUCUCCAAACUGUAUAAUAGAAAGCUUGCUUUAUUUAUUUAUAUUUUAUAAAAGAAGAUAUUUAAAUUAUUUCACUGGCUAUUCACUUUCUUCUUGUGUGGGUGAAAAAAACCCAGCAGUUGAGCACUGCCUAGAAUGGUGAAGGCACUUUUUAGCUGUAUCCUCAUUAUGAUAUAAAAAUAUUGUCAUCUGAUGAUUAGUUGGUACAAAACUUCAUUGUCUUACAGACUGCACACUGUCCUUUAAAAUAUUAUUAAAGUGUCCCAUCUUCCAGAACCUAAAACUAUGCUAAAUAACCACUUAUUUUUAAAAGUUGUUUUCACAUUUUUCAGUCCUCUGGUGAUAGUUUAUUAGCAUGGCACUUGGCUGUCAUUUACUUAGUUUAUUUUCUGGCUAAAAAUUGAAGAUUAUUUUGCAGGUGCUAAAUGUUCUGAUCUUUGGUUGAUUUCACAUAUUAAGCCAUGCAAUGCAAUUGCAUCACAUGGAAUUGCAUAUGCAUCAACAGCACAGCAAAAACAACCAUUUGAAAAAGAUUAAAAACAAGAGUUGAGAAAAAUGUAAGUAAGCCUGUUCUGUCAAACACGAGAAAAACUCUUUGUGUUUAAUAUGAAAAAAGUUGAAUAAAU